AGUUAAAAUAAGUGGUUGUGCGUAAAUAAGAAAUAAGGAAAAAUUAUAUCUUCCUAAGUGUGUUAUGUAUAAAAAAAAAAGUAUCAAAAAAGCGGUUUUGUGUCUCAAUGAAAAAACUUAAAAAUUCAAAAAGAGACCAGAAACAAUGUUAAUAAAUGAACGUAAAUUGAAAGAAUGUUGUGUAAUGAAAAACACGCAUCGCCUGCGGUUAGCGGAUAUCAAAUCCAGUGUGAACGACUUCAACACUUCAAACUCCUGAAUUUUACGACUAAUGACAAACUGUGAAAAAGCAACGCUGGCAGAAAAAUUCACAUGUUUGCUAAUAGUGAAAAAGUGAACUGUUGCCGGCAUAAAUGUAGGAGCGUCGAGGCGAACCACUUGAACAACAAUUGAAAUACGAUGAGUGCUUGCUUACAUUUACAUUUACGUCAUACAUACUUACGUAUCUACAUAUAUACAUAUUGGAAU